rnacentral:piRNA from 1 species
UUGGGCUAAAUCGCAUCCUGAAUAGGCAGA